UUUUUUAAAACAAAGACUAGAAAACCCAUUUAUUCAUUUCUUUUUAAAUAACUAUCCUGAAAUCUAAUUUGGUAAUCUAAAAGAAAGGAAACAAUGAGAGAGCAGAUCAUACACAAUACAACUAAAAUACAACAAUUCACAAGUAAUGGUACACUUGGAGAAUGUCAAUAAUGCAAAACAUCUCGCCUCAAUUCAUCCGCAGCAGGAUCAAGUCAGAUAAUG
rnacentral:misc_RNA from 1 species